CGUCAGUAUACUAAUAUUUUCCAAAUGAACCUAUCUUGGUCCCUGCACUGUCCCCAACAUCCAUCCCUCAAUUUCAUUUUUGCUUGUUAGUUUCCUACGAGUGGAUCACCAUGGCCAAGACAUUUAUGCACCUUCAUCCUCACUCACUGCUGCACGAGUAGAUAUCAGUUUUCUUGUGUUCUGACAGCAAAAGAUGUCAGAACAGAAAUGGAAAGGAAGGCCGUUUUUCAUGUUCUUCCAUCAGCCUCUUUACUUCCGCUUGUUCUUUAUUCUGAUGUUAUUACAAGGUUGUUCCAAGUUUGCUGUUGCGGGUUCAGCAGUGAAGUUUCUUCCAGGAUUUGAGGGACCGCUUCCUUUCGAACUUGAGACUGGGUAUAUAGGAGUGGGUGAAUCAGAGGAUGUGCAGCUGUUCUACUACUUUGUUAAGUCAGAAUCAAACCCUGAGGUAGACCCUCUGGUGCUUUGGCUAACUGGAGGCCCUGGCUGCUCUACAUUGACUGCACUGCUGUAUGAAUUUGGUAAAAGCUCACAUCUUGUUGAAGGCAUUGUUUCAGCUCUGCAAAACAUUGGACCCAUAAAGUUCGAGGAAGUUGAGUACAAUGGUAGCUUACCCAGAUUAAUUCUGAAUACCAACUCAUGGACUGAGGUGGCAAGCUUUAUUUUUCUUGAUUUCCCAGUCGGUACUGGAUUCUCCUAUGCAAGAACUCCAGAUGCUCUACAAUCUAAUACUCUGCAAGCAUGUAAUCAAGCACUCGAGUUUCUCAGGAAGUUCCUGAUUGAUCAUCCAGAGUUCAUCUCGAAUCCUUUCUAUGUUGGUGGAGACUCCUUUUCGGGUCUUAUUGUUCCAAUCAUUACCGAAUUAAUAUCCGAGGGGAAUGAAAAUGGAAUUGAGCCAUCAAUUGAUCUUAAGGGAUACCUAAUUGGCAACCCAGUAACAACUCCAACUGAUGACAACUAUAGAGUGCCGUUUGCUCAUGGGAUGGGACUAAUUUCUGAUGAACUAUACGAGUCCCUGAAGAGGAAUUGUAAAGGUAAGUACCAAGACAUAGAUCCCAGCAACUUUCCAUGCUCACAGGAUUUGCAGGUUUUUAAUAAGUUACUUGACAAUAUACAAGUUGCAAAUAUUUUGGAACCAACGUGUGAUUUUUGGGCACCAAAUCCACGAAAUCUCUUCUUAGAAGGAUCUCUUGAUAAAACGUUCCUGGGGCUGAACAGAUUUGAGAGAUUUCUUGCAUUUAGGCUGACGGUUACAAGCUAUCCUACGCAUGGGCAAAUGAUGAUAAUGUCCAUGAGGCUUUGCAGAUUCACAAGGAAAGCAUUGGGUAUUGGCGACGAUGCAACUAUGGUUUGCCUUACACCACAACUGUUCAGGACUGUGUACCGUAUCAUGCAAACCUCAGCAGUAAAGGUUAUAGAUCACUGAUGUACAGUGGUGACCAUGACUUCGUUGUUCCAUUCUUUGCAACUCAAGCUUGGAUUAGGUCUCUAAACUACCCUAUCAUUGAUGACUGGCGACAAUGGGUGGUUGAAGGGCAAGUUGCAGGUUAUACGAGGAGUUAUGCCAACCGGAUGACAUUUGCCACAGUGAAGGGAGGAGGCCACACGGCUCCAGAGUACAGACCAGCAGAAUGCAAGGCCAUGUUCAAAAGGUGGAUAUCUCAUGAACCUCUGUAGGGUGUAAUCAAUUGGUGAAUUUUCACACAUCUUAUCCAUCCCUCAAAUGUCCUGUACUUUUAAUCGUGUAUAGGCGACCAAUAUGUACUUUUUUUUGUGUGUAAGAUUGCUUACAGAUACUUGUCCAACAAGAAGUACUUAAUUUACCUAAUAUUGGUGAAAAAUGUCUUAGCCAUGCUGUGGAAUACAUCAAAAUAAAAUUUUUUUUUUCUUAUUA